rnacentral:miRNA from 1 species
AAUAUGUUUUCUAUUGUUGGACGG